rnacentral:rRNA from 1 species
AGGGUUUGAUCCUGGCUCAGAACGAACGCUGGCGGCGUGGCUAAGACAUGCAAGUCGCACGGGAAAGCAGUGCAUCGCGAGUACAGUGGCGGAAGGGUGAGGAAUACAUGGGUAACGUACCCCGAGCACGAGGAUAGCCGCGGGAAACUGCGGGUAAUACUCGAUGAGACCACAGUGUCACAGGACACAGCGGUCAAAGGGCGGGGCCCCGAAAGGGCCUGUUGGCUUGGGAGCGGCCCAUGUCCUAUCAGCUAGUUGGUGAGGUAACGGCUCACCAAGGCUACGACGGGUACCGGGACUGAGAGGUUGGCCCGCCACAUUGGCACUGAGACACUGGCCAGACUCCUACGGGAGGCUGCAGUAACGAGUAUUGGGCAAUGGGCGAAAGCCUGACCCAGCGACGCCGCGUGUGGGAUGAAGUCCUUCGGGAUGUAAACCACCGUCAGGGGUUACCAAGUGAACCGCCAUAACAAGGCGGGGAGUUGAGGAGCCCCAAAGGAAGCCACGGCUAACUCUGUGCCAGCAGCCGCGGUAAGACAGAGGUGGCAAGCGUUGUUCGGAAUCAUUGGGCUUAAAGAGCACGUAGGCGGCCCGUCAAGUGUCUUGUGAAAUCCCUCGGCUCAACCGAGGAAUGGCUGGGCAUACUGACAGGCUUGAGGCAGGUAGGAGCGAGUGGAACUCUUGGUGGAGCGGUGGAAUGCGUAGAUAUCAAGAGGAACGCCGGAGGUGAAGACGACUCGCUGGGCCCGUCCUGACGCUGAGGUGCGAAAGCCAGGGGAGCAAACGGGAUUAGAUACCCCGGUAGUCCUGGCCCUAAACGAUGUCUACUAGGUCGGAGGCACUCUGACGUGGCUCCGGCCGGAAUGAAAACGUUAAGUAGACCGCCUGGGGAGUACGGUCGCAAGGCAAAAACUCAAAGGAAUUGACGGGGGCUCACACAAGCGGUGGAGCAUGUUGCUCAAUUCGAUACAACGCGAAGAACCUUAUCCUGGGCUUGACAUGCACGAGCCUCUACCUGGAAACAGGAUAGAGUUGCCCUUCGGGGUGUAAGCGUGCACAGGUGCUGCAUGGCUGUCGUCAGCUCGUGUCGUGAGAUGUCGGGUUAAGUCCCAUAACGAGCGAAACCCUUGUCGCUAGUUGCCAGCGGGUCAUGCCGGGGACUCUAGCGAGACUGCCGGUGUCAAACCGGAGGAAGGCGGAGAUGACGUCGAGUCCUCAUGGCCUUUAUGCCCAGGGCUGCAAACGUGCUACAAUGGCGGUGACAAACCGAUGCAAAACCGUAAGGUCAAGCAAACCGGAAAAAAACCGCCCCAGUUCAGAUUGGGGUCUGCAACUCGACCCCAUGAAGUUGGAAUCGCUAGUAAUCGCGGAUCAGCUAUGCCGCGGUGAAUGUGUUCCUGAGCCUUGUACACACCGCCCGUCAAGUCAUGGGAGCCGGUAGCACCCGAAGUCGCCUCGAUACAGGGGUGCCGAAGGUGAGAUCGGUGACUGGGACUAAGUCGUAACAAGGUA